GAUCCUGGCUCAGGAUGAACGCUAGCUACAGGCUUAACACAUGCAAGUCGAGGGGAAACGAUAUUGGAAGCUUGCUUCCGAUAGGCGUCGACCGGCGCACGGGUGAGUAACGCGUAUCCAACCUGCCCAUCACUUGGGGAUAACCUUGCGAAAGUAAGACUAAUACCCAAUGACGUCUCUAGAAGACAUCUGAAAGAGAUUAAAGAUUUAUCGGUGAUGGAUGGGGAUGCGU
rnacentral:rRNA from 1 species